UACGGAGGGUGCGAGCGUUGUCCGGAAUCACUGGGCGUAAAGGGCGCGUAGGCGGCGCGGUAAGUCGGGUGUGAAAUCUCGGGGCUUAACUCCGAAACUGCAUUCGAUACUGCCGUGCUUGAGGACUGGAGAGGAGACUGGAAUUUACGGUGUAGCGGUGAAAUGCGUAGAUAUCGUAAGGAAGACCAGUGGCGAAGGCGGGUCUCUGGACAGUUCCUGACGCUGAGGCACGAAGGCCAGGGGAGCAAACGGG
rnacentral:rRNA from 1 species